rnacentral:rRNA from 1 species
UACAGAGGUCCCAAGCGUUGUUCGGAUUCAUUGGGCGUAAAGGGUGCGUAGGCGGCGGGGUAAGUCAGGUGUGAAAUCCCGGAGCUCAACUCCGGAACUGCACUUGAUACUGCCUUGCUCGAGUACUGGAGAGGAGACUGGAAUUUACGGUGUAGCGGUGAAAUGCGUAGAUAUCAGGAGGAACACCGGUGGCGAAGGCGGGUCUCUGGGCCGAUACUGACGCUGAGGAGCGAAAGCGUGGGGAGCGAACAGG